AACGAACGCUGGCGGCAGGCCUAACACAUGCAAGUCGAACGCAUCGCAAGAUGAGUGGCAGACGGGUGAGUAACGCGUGGGAACCUUCCCAGUGGUGCGGAAUAGCUCAGGGAAACUUGAGGUAAUACCGCAUGAGCCCGCAAGGGGAAAGAUUUAUCGCCAUUGGAUGGGCCCGCGUCGGAUUAGCUAGUUGGUGAGGUAACGGCUCACCAAGGCGACGAUCCGUAGCUGGUUUGAGAGAAUGACCAGCCACACUGGGACUGAGACACGGCCCAGACUCCUACGGGAGGCAGCAGUGGGGAAUAUUGGACAAUGGGCGCAAGCCUGAUCCAGCCAUGCCGCGUGAGUGACGAAGGCCUUAGGGUUGUAAAGCUCUUUUGGCGGGGACGAUAAUGACGGUA
rnacentral:rRNA from 1 species